AAUUUAUUUCACUGGAAACAAUUGUAAAAAUAAAUAUUAUUAUCACAGUUGGAAAAUAUUAUUGCUGUUCUCGGAGUAUUUCAGAGAUACAAUUAGCAUUGGAAUUCGUGGGACUACGUGUUCUGAGGAAAUCGAGGAUGGGUUUAUCAUACUGCGGUGGAGUUUGACAUUGAAAUUGUAACUGACGGUCAGGGCCUGUGGUCACGCGACCCUCUAGUCGUUCGCAUGCGCACGUCAUGAGACGUCUCAUUGUGGAACUUUUCAUUUCGGAAUUAUUCGGAUAGUGAGAUAGAAAAAAUAUUGUGGAUUAUUAGAAAUGGGGUCGAAGGGCACAACUGCUCUGGUUCGUUUCCUUGGAGGACAUAACCAAAAAGACUAAAGGGCUACAUCACCCCGGACCUGAUGACUCACAUUAACAGUAGUCCCACUUAUGCACCUCCGUUUAGACCCAAAAAAACGGC